rnacentral:rRNA from 1 species
GACGAACGCUGGCGGCGUGCUUAACACAUGCAAGUCGAGCGGUAAGGCCCUUUCGGGGGUACGACGAGCGGCGAACGGGUGAGUAACACGUGGGUGACCUGCCCUCAGCUCUGGGAUAAGCCUGGGAAACUGGGUCUAAUACCGGGAUAUGACUCCAUGACGCAUGUUGUGGGGUGGAAAGCCUUGUGCGGCUGAGGAUGGGCCCGCGGCCUAUCAGCUUGUU